rnacentral:lncRNA from 1 species
UCCAGGCUGGCGGAACUGUCCACACCUUUCUGUUGGCUGAAAACCCAGCCCCCGCCUCUGGCCUCUUCUCUAAGUACAGCUUCCUGUGCCUGGUGCUCGGAAGAUGGCCUGUGAUGUCACAGAGCUGUGGCUCUGAGUCACAGCUGCUCUGUGCACCUGCCCAGCGGGAACUCCAUACAGCUGCCCACCACUCCACUGAAGAUGCAACCCAGUCACUGCUGGCUCUUUCCACAGCUGCUUCUCCACCCAGGCUCUGUCUUUGGCAUCUGAGUCCUCACGGAGCUGAGCUGAUUGAAGAGAGGUUGCUGGCCUGCCAGGGCCUCCUCCUUCACUGUUGUCGGCCCCUCUCUGGCUGAGUCCAGCCGCAGCAGCGCCGGCCAGCGCCCUCCUGGAACCCCAGAAACCCCUUCGGUGCCAGGCUGCGGAUGCCUCCCGUCCUGUCUCUGAGUCACAUCGGCCCCCACUGGCAGCAAUGGCAGAUCACCGAGUCUGAAGCUGUCUGGAGCAGAGACGCUGCUGUUGUUCACUUCAUUCCAUUUGGAAAACUCCGAUCCUUCGGCAAGAGGUUGCUGGCACCCAGAGUUGAUGUUUUGUUUUGACUCAGCCCCUUGCAAUGAUUGCCAGGGAGGCGGCGGCUCCUUGACAUCUCUGAGUCCCUUCCGUUAUUAAUCACUGUAAAUCUGGAAUAAUCUCUACAAACAUAUUUUGUUCCCUACAAAUAUAUUUGUGCCGGCUUUCUCUAAUAAAUCUUAUGUCAGACAGGCUAUUGUCUCUCUUUGCACACCAUCUCCCAGC